GCAGGCAUGAGAAAUCACAGUGAGAGCAACGCUAAAAGGACUUCCCGUAUCAUUGCAAUGGAAUGACUCAGCAUGCAAGUUAGGUUUGAUACAAUUACUUCAUGGGCAACCACAAUCUAAUUUUGUUGGAGCAAGAAAUAAAAAUCCUGAAGACACUGUAAAUGGAAGAAAAGAACAGAGAAAUCUGGACACACCCAGCGGGAUGGCCAGUAUCCGUGGGGAUACUCUUUCCGAAUUCCCUAAUUGAAGUCAUGAACUUCCCAUUGCUACAAUACCUUGCUAAACUUGAGUUCUACAACUUAGUACCCUGGAUUCAUGGUGGAUUAGUAUUUCGCCACUUGGUUCUUUAAAGAAGUGUGGUGUGGGAAAUACUACCUCUAUAUUCUGUGUCAUAGAGUGAUUGAAGUACAAAUGUACAUGUGAAUGCCACCUUUUCACAAUUAAUUAUUCCACUUAUACUUCACAUUCCCACUAAAAACAAACACAAAAGUAAAAUUGUAUAAAUUCCUCCUUUUUAAAUCUGCAGAUAAUUGGUAUAGACAGCAAUCCACAUCAUGUACAAAAAUAAAGGCCAGAGUGUGAGAAAAAUCACAGUGGACGACCAUGCAAAAUGAAUAAAAGACUGAAGACGUAAAGCAAGCUCAAUUAUUCUUUCAUAGGCACAUUAAUAGGAAUUUAAUACAAGAAUACAGUAUAUCAUGUUUCAAGAAUUUAAUAGGCUUCCCAAUUAUUACAAAGACUUUUUGCCAGACACACAGCUGGAGGCCAAACAGUGGGAGAGUAUAAAACAUCUGCGUAUUUAAACUGUCGCCAAAACCUACUGAAUUUGAUCUUGAAUGACUACAAAUCUUUGGAAUGUAAGUGUACUUUCUUUGGACCCACCCAGAAAUCUAUUGAGAAUUCCAUAUGGAACCACUAAACAGUAUUAUACAGGAUUUCCUAUAAACAAAAUUGCAGUCAAAGACAUUUUUGGAAGUUAACCAAUCUUUAUAAAGAAUAACCUUUUCGUUUUAAACACAUUCUGGCAUCAUUUGUAGCAUCAAUAAAUGUAAAACUCUUAACAAGACCAACCUUAAUCAUUCUAUGCAGUCAACCCAGAGCAUAUAAAUAUUUCCAGUACUUCAAAAGUAUUAAUUAGAAACACAUGGCCUUGUACAAUUUCUUGGCCCCAACUUAUGGUUGUAAUUUAAUGUUAUCCCCAUACUAUAAACAUUGUCUAUAAUGAGUGGGUACAACUUUACUGCAACAUACAUCAAAAAGGUAACUGGGACUUUUGUCUGCUCAUGUUGAAGCUGAAUCAUUUACUGCUAAAACUCAUACAACAAAUUUUUUGCCAUAAUUUUAUUGUGCACUUUCAACUGAAAUGCUGCAAUUUUCUUCUGUUUUGGUAAACAUUAAAAGUAAUUUUAAAACUCUUUAAUUUGUGUAAGCUAUUAUUUAAUUCUUAUUGUGUCAGGAAAGAAUGAAGGGAUAAGGGAAAGAAAGAGGAAAUCUGUGCAAAGUAACUCUGACAUAUAUCAUGCUAACACACAGAAAGUGACUGUAAAUCAGUUCAUAUUGGAAACAAGCCUUCUAAACGAUCAAUAAUGUCCAAUAUGAAUAUUUUAUUCUCUAAUAGACUCAGAUUUAUUUUGUCUUAGCAUGACUAGUAAGACUAUUGUCUUGAAAAAAAAUCCACAUCUAAUUGACACCUGAAUGUGACAGUUCCAAUAUUGUGUCACUUCUAACUCACUUGGUGAACUUGAAUUUUUAUAGCAUCUUCAAUACAACAAAUAUUCCAAAGCUAGAACACAAAUAUGAUCAUCAUAUAUUGGCACAAAGUCAGUGAUGGAGCUUUAAUCAAUCAAAGAGGCUGGUUUUAAGGAACCUAGUGAAGGAAGUGAAAGCAGUUUUGAGAGAAAGUUCUAGACCUUAGAAAAUGGAAACCUGCAAAUAUUUUACACUCUAAUAAAACAAAAUUAACUGCAAUUUAUUCAUAACUUUUUAAUACAUAUUGAUCAACUGUUUUCAAAAUGAAGAAGUGGGUACUUGGUUGAGUUUGUUUGUUUUUGAUCUUUAGCUGCUUUGCCACCAAGUUCCAAUACCAGGAUUCUCCAAGCCACCUGGCAUAUAACAGUUUUAUUGCUAAAUAGUUUUGCUUUAGCAAUCAGUUUCAUUUCAAGAUUUUCAGAUUACUUCAACAUUUUUAAAAUGGUAGUGUAAUUUCUGAGGGUGCACAUUUAUUAUUUACCAAAAUUAUUACACAGAAAAUAGAAUGCUUCAGAAACUGGCUUUAAUAUUGUAGUCACAUGGAUUUUCUUUGCCUGAGGCUAAAUCUGCUGUUAAUUUAUCACCACAUAUGUAAUGCCACUGAUGUAUUUUCAAACAACUUAAAUUUAUGGAAUGACUGAUUUCUUUUAAAAAAAUCUUUUAUUUCAAAGGGUUUUCUUAAGGGAGACUGGCAAUUUUGAAUUACCUUGUUUGGGGACAGCAAAAACAGAAGCAAUAGAUCAAUGUUUGGGGUGAAUUAUGGAGAAUAUGAACAAUUUCAGGAUAUACUGUAUAUUGUAUACAUUUCUCUGAUGCUAAGUGUACCUUUGAAACCUUUGAUAUGAAGAAAUAACUAUGCAUUCAAUUUUUGAUCACCAAAUGCAAUCGUGUUAAAUACAUUGAACCAUGUUCUUUGGAUUUUGGCUGCUUAAUGAUCUCUCUUUUGUCCUUUUUCAUAUAUUAAAAUUUUAUUUUUAACCUAAGCAUCCUCCUCUUGGCUAUAUUGUGUAAUUGACUACAUUCCCCAAAUAAGUGUAAACAACCUUAGGAUUUAAAAGCAAAUAUGGAAG